rnacentral:tRNA from 2 species
GCGGAUGUGGUGGAAUCGGUAGACACGCACGCUUGAGGGGCGUGUGACGAAAGUCUUGCGAGUUCGAGUCUCGCCAUCCGCA